UACAGCCAUAUCAAAUUGAAACACCAGUUCCCGUACAAUCACCAAAGUUGAACAACAUCGAACCUGAUCAGUACCUUGAUGCAUGACUGCUUGGGAAUUCCAGGUGCUGUAA